rnacentral:ncRNA from 1 species
GCAAAAACUAUGAUGAGAAGAGUAAUUACAAGAAGAUUUUUAGAGAGUCAGGGAUGGUGGAAUCCUGAUAUGAUGAUUGUAAUGAAGAACAUCUCGGAGUUUCUAACCAAAAUCCUUCUGGAGAGUAGGCUUAGACGGAGCCAAACCGUUAUAGAUUGGACAGUAUCGAAGCAUUAUUCCGUACUGAUUGAGAAGAGCAUUUUGCUAAUUUGGGUGGUACCGCGGAAGUUUAGUCUUUCGUCCCUUAC